rnacentral:lncRNA from 1 species
UUGUUGUCCAAUUAUAUUAGUGUUGUAUCAAGAUCGAACUCCGCCUGGCUAGACUAGUUGUCCACGAUAAUCCCAAAAGGCCAUGCUGAUUGGCCGAUGGUAUCGAUUCUCGCAUAUUCCCAAAGAGAAAGAGCCCCCGCCGCAGCCGUUUCCGUAGCGGAAUAUGAUAUCCCCAAGCUCCCGCCGCCGCAUCACAGCCGUCCACGAGUCCCCUUGCGGCCCACGGCGAAUCGCCAACGGUCCAGAUGCGACCGCUUCCCCCAAGGCAAGGAAACCACACGCGGGAGGAGGUGAUCCCUUUCUCUCGUCGUCGCCCCCAAUUCGAUCUCAAUCGAUCGAUCAAUUAGGUCAGAAAAUUCAAUCCAAGUUGAUUUCUUUUUUUUUUUUUGGGUCUGACAAUCGAAGUUGAUUCGCCAGCUCGGACAUGGCUGGAGGCAAGAGGAGAUCGAAUUUGAGGAGAAACGAUGAGGAAGAUGGUGAGGAUGAUGUUGCGGAAUAUGGUGAUGAGGAAGACUCAGAGUCGGAGUCGGCUGAGCAGGAUGGAGC